AUGGCUCAGGACGAACGCUGGCGGCGUGCUUAACACAUGCAAGUCGUACGCUGAAGCUCGCUUCGGUGGGUGGAUGAGUGGCGAACGGGUGAGUAACACGUGGGUAACCUGUCCUGUACUUCGGGAUAAGCCUGGGAAACUGGGUCUAAUACCGGAUGGGACUUCAUGCCGCAUGGUGUGGGGUGGAAAGCCGUUUUUCGGUGGUAUGGGGUGGUCCCGCGGCCUAUCAGCUUGUUGGUGAGGUAAGGGCUCACCAAGGCGGUGACGGGUAGCCGGCCUGAGAGGGUGACCGGCCACACUGGGACUGAGACACGGCCCAGACUCCUACGGGAGGCAGCAGUGGGGAAUCUUGCACAAUGGGCGGAAGCCCUGAUGCAGCGACGCCGCGUGGGGGAUGACGGCCUUCGGGUUGUAAACCCCUUUCACUAUCGACGAAGCCUUUCGGGGUGACGGUAGGUGGGGAAGAAGCACCGGCUAACUACGUGCCAGCAGCCGC
rnacentral:rRNA from 1 species